AUUUCCGUUUAUCCUGCGGAAGAUCGCUGCUAUUAGGGUUCGACUAAGCCAUGCAAGUCUUGGGAUUCGCAAGAGUCCCGGCAGACUGCUCAGUAACACGUCGAUAAUCUGCCUUAUGGUCGGGGAUAACCUCGAGAAAUUGAGGAUAAUACCUGAUAGGGGAUUGAGGCUGGAAUGCGCUUUCUCUUAAAAGCAAUGCCAUAAGAUGAGUCGGCGGCUGAUUAGGUUGUUGGUGAGGUAAUGUAUUUCUGAAGGAAACUGUUUAAAUUCCGUCAGAAUUUUAUAUGCUCACCAAGCCGGAGAUCAGUAGGGGCCUUGAGAGAGGUAGCCCCGAGAAGGGCACUGAGAUACUGGCCCUAGCUCCACGGAGUGCAGCAGGCGCGAAAACUUUACACUACGCGAAAGCGUGAUAAGGGAACCCUAAGUGCUUAUGUUUUUACAUAGGCUUUUGUCAAGAGCAAAAAUCUUGGAGAAUAAGUGGUGGGCAAGACUGGUGCCAGCCGCCGCGGUAAUCCCAGCACCACAAGUGGCGAUCAUAAUUAUUUGGCUUAAAGCAUCCGUAGCCGGUUUGAUAAAUCUUUUGUGAAAUUGUUAGGCUCAACUUAACAACGUGCAGAAGACACUAUUAAACUAGGGACUGGGAAGAGUCAGAAGUAUUCAAUGGGGAGCGGUAAAAUGCUAUAAUCCAUUGAAGACUACCUGUGGCGAAGGCGUCUGACUAGAACAGCUCCGACGGUGAGGGAUGAAAGCUGAGGGAGCGAUCCGGAUUAGAUACGAGAAAUUUUCUAAGAAAUGUCAGAAAUCAAAAGGAUGCUUAGAGACGCAGUCUCUGGCACCGCUAAAGCGGUUUCUGAGCAUGCUCAAAAACCUUCGGUUUUUGACAAUUUCUGGAGUUAGACUCGUAAAUUUCGCUGUUAAACUACAUUUAUGAGUUGAAUCUGGAAUUAAUGAAAAUUUACUCGCUAAUUACCCGAGUAGUCUCAGCCGUAAACUCUGCGAGCCAGGUGUUGCAUAUUCUUCGGGAAUAUGCAGUGUCGUAACGAAGGUGCUAAGCUCGCCGCCUGGGAAGUAUAGUCGCAAGACCGAAACUUAAAGGAAUUGGCGGGGGAGCACUACAAGGGGUGCGGCGUGCGGUUCAAUCGAAUUCAACACCGAAAAUCUCACCAGAACCGACGGCAGGAUGAAAGUCAGGCUGAAGACCUUACUUAACAAGCCGAGAGGUAGCGCAUGGCCGUCGCCAGCUCGUGCUGUGAAGUGUCCUCUUAAGUGAGGUAACGAGCGAGACCUGUACCUACAAUUGCUAACGAAUUUUGUGAUCGAGCACAUUGUAGGGACUGCCUUGGAAACAAGGAGGAAGGUGCAGGCAACGGUAGGUCUGUAUGCUCCGAAUGCUCUGGGCUACACGCGCGCAACAAUGGUAGGGACAAUGGGCUGCAACUCCGAAAGGAGAAGCUAAACCUCUAAACCCUAUCUUAGUCCAGAUCGAGGAAUGUAAGUGUCCUCGUGACGUUGGAAUCCCUAGUAAUCGGACGUCAACAGCGUCCGGUGAACAUGUCCCUGCUCCUUGCACACACCGCCCGUCAAACCAUCCGAGCAGAGUCUAGAUGAGGUUUGGUUUAUUGAUUAAAUCGAAUCUAGGCCCAGUGAGGAGGGUUAAGUCGUCACAAGGUAACCGUAGGGGAACCUGCGGUUGGAUCACCUCCU
rnacentral:rRNA from 1 species